CAGUCGCCACGGGAAUACGUAGGGUGCAAGCGUUAAUCGGAAUUACUGGGCGUAAAGCGUGCGCAGGCGGUUUGUUAAGACAGAUGUGAAAUCCCCGGGCUCAACCUGGGAACUGCAUUUGUGACUGGCAAGCUAGAGUCUGGCAGAGGGGGGUGGAAUUCCGCGUGUAGCAGUGAAAUGCGUAGAUAUGCGGAGGAACACCGAUGGCGAAGGCAGCCCCCUGGGCCAACACUGACGCUCAUGCACGAAAGCGUGGGGAGCAAACAGGAUUAGAUACCCCCGUGUCCCUGUCUCUUAUACA
rnacentral:rRNA from 1 species